GACGAACGCUGGCGGCGUGCUUAACACAUGCAAGUCGAACGGAAAGACCCUGCUUUUGUGGGGUGCUCGAGUGGCGAACGGGUGAGUAACACGUGAGUAACCUGCCCUUGACUUUGGGAUAACUUCAGGAAACUGGGGCUAAUACCGGAUAGGAGCUCCUGCUGCAUGGUGGGGGUUGGAACGUUUCGGCGGUUGGGGAUGGACUCGCGGCUUAUCAGCUUGUUGGUGGGGUAGUGGCUUACCAAGGCUUUGACGGGUAGCCGGCCUGAGAGGGUGACCGGCCACGUUGGGACUGAGAUACGGCCCAGACUCCUACGGGAGGCAGCAGUGGGGAAUAUUGCACAAUGGGCGGAAGCCUGAUGCAGCAACGCCGCGUGCGGGAUGACGGCCUUCGGGUUGUAAACCGCAUUCGCCUGUGACGAAGCGUGAGUGACGGUAAUGGGUAAAGAAGCACCGGCUAACUACGUG
rnacentral:rRNA from 1 species